GUCAACAAGUAAUAAAACUAUAAUGUUUGUUUUCAUUUCUAAAUAAAGUUUACUACAUUUCAUGGACGUUACAGGUGACAUAAGUUUCCAUCGCGACCAAAACAAUGAUAUAUUGAGUGAGAGUGAAAGUGAUUGUCAAUCUGUAGUUGAAGAGACUGAACAAACAGACGAUGACACCGAGUUAGCUAAAAACCAAAGGGACUUCCAUAAUAAAAUAAAAAUUCACCUCUUCUAAGUGGAAUUUUUUUCACAGUUGAUAUGGGUCAAUCAACUGACAUAAAACUGAUUGCCGAAUGUAACUUUUGUCACCCGAAGAAAAUAAUUAGAGAGUCUAUACGGACAACUUCAAACUAUAUUUUUCAUUCAAAGAGAAAACAUUCUGAAGAUUGUACGAGGUAUUUGGAGCACAAAAAGCAAUUUGAUAAAUCGAAAACUAAAGCUUCAAUCGAUAGAAGCCGCUUGUCAUGUUCAUUCGACCAAGAACCAUUUGAGAAAAACAUAACGAUGUAUAUUUUAAAAUCACUAUUACCAUUUAAUUCAGUCUUGAAGAUCCACAUUUCCGAAAAAUCUUUGAUGGCACAUAAAGUUUACAUAAUUGUCUGCAGACUAUUAUUUUUUGUUUUGUCACUCAUAAUUCUUAUUCUCGAUUAAAUCAAAACCUAAUUUGAAAGAUCUCCAAAUCAAGAAGCAAGGUAACACCAUCUAUUACAUGACUCGACAUCUAUUAGAGAAACGAGUUCAUGAAAUUUAUGAUCAAACAAUCAACAACAUUUGCAAGGAUUUACUUUCCGUAAUUCAAAAUAAUGGCUAUGUUUGUACCACGGUGGAUGUUUGGACAGGAGGUUCACGUUUUUUGGGUGUUACAGCUCAUUAGCUCGAUUCAGACACUGUAGAACGAAAAUCCGCUGCGUUGGCUUGCCUGCGACAUUGUUUGGGUACACACUCGGUCAAUGCGAUUGCAUCUCUUCUAUGCAUUAUUCACUCCUCAUUUAGAUUAAGGCCUGAUACAAUACAAGCAACCGUGACAGACAACGGAAGUCAUUUUGUAAAAGCGUUUAAAGAAUUAGGAAUUUAGGGUUCAUUCACUUUUCAAGAUUCAGAUUAACCUUCUGAUGAUUGGAGUGACACUGAGACUGAAGUUGCAGAAGCGAGUGAGGAAUUUAGUGAAGCAUGUGAUAAACAUCUACCGACCCAUUACCGGUGUGCGAGUCAUACUUUAAAUUUGAUAGCAUCAACGGACAUUAUUAAGGCUAUUAAUGCUGACUCAGAGCUGAAAAGAAAACAUAAAUGUGUUUUGAAAAAAUGUAAGACUUUGUGGAAGUAACUACGUUCUGCCAAAAAAAGAGAAAGUCUGAAAUCUAUAUUGGGUGUUUUGAUUCAAAAGCCUGUCAUAACUCGCUGGAAUUCGACUUAUGAUUGCUUCGAACAAUUGAUUAAAAUCAAAGAAAAACUGAUGAGUGAUGAUUUAAAAACACUUAUGCGACCGUUUCGUUCUUCUGAUUUUAAUUAUUUACAAGAAUCCGUUGAAUGUUCAACUCCACUUGCAGAAGCUACCGAUAGCUUAGAAGCAGGAAAAUGUUAUCACAAUAUUCUUCUACCAAAAUCACUUUCAGUAAAGAACUGAAUUAAUAUUCCUUUAACUCGUGGAGAUAUAGCCUACUGCAAACCAAUUUUAGAUAUAAUAAUAAGUAGUAUCGAAAAACGUUUCGCCACAUUAUUUGAUGUUCAUGAAUAUAAUAUUGAUGCGAUAAUUGCUGCAGUUUCACAUUCAGCUUUUAAAGGCCGCUGGCUUUCAUCUUUUUCGAAAGAAGAUCGAAAAAUUAUACAUAACUGAUUUGUGGAAGCUGUUUCUAAAGAAGCGUUAACUGAGUCGUCAAGGUCUACUGUUAAAAAAAAGGAGACUUUGAAUUUGGAUCUCUAGAUGACACCAUUGAUAAGUUUCAUCCUUCAAUGUCACAGGGAGAAAUAACAGCAGAAGUGAUGAGAUAUUUGAAAAGCUCGGACUGUAAGCUUACAGUCUUAGAACGAUUUCCAGAAAUUAAAAAAACUUUCUUAAGAUACAACACACCUUUACCAUCUUCAGCCUGUGAUGAAAGGCUCUUCAGUAAUGUGAUAAUGCUUAAUUUACCCGAGUAUAAUAAAUUAAGCGAUCAACAUUUUGAACAGAGAAUACUUGCUAAAGCAAACUUAACAAAAAUAAUUAAUUAAAUCUUAAUUGAAGCGUUUA